UCUUAUGGAUGAACAAAGUAAGUGGUUUCUUGAGAUGGAAUCUACUUACGGUGAAGAUGCUGUGAA
rnacentral:pre_miRNA from 1 species